rnacentral:rRNA from 1 species
CCCUUAGAUGUUCUGGGCCGCACGCGCGCUACACUGAUGCAUUCAACGAGUCUAAAACCGGCUCUGAUAGGGGUGGGUAAUCUUUUGAAUGUGCAUCGUGAUUGGGAUAGAUGAUUGCAAUUUUUCAUCUUCAACGAGGAAUGCCUAGUAAACGCAAGUCAUCAGCUUGCAUUGAUUACGUCCCUGCCCUUUGUACACACCGCCCGUCGCUCCUACCGAUUGAAUGAUCCGAUGAAUAUCAUGGAUUGAGGAUGCAAGUAGGUUCGCCUAUCUUCAUCUUCGAGAAGUGAAGUAAAUCUUAUCAUUUAGAGGAAGGAGAAGUCGUAACA